rnacentral:rRNA from 1 species
GAAGUGCUUGCACUUCUGACGUUAGCGGCGAACGGGUGAGUAACACGUAAGGAAUCUACCUAUAAGCGGGGGAUAACAUUCGGAAACGGGUGCUAAUACCGCAUAAUAUCUUCUUCCGCAUGGAAGAAGAUUGAAAGACGGCUCUGCUGUCACUUAUAGAUGACCUUGCGGUGCAUUAGUUAGUUGGUGGGGUAAUGGCCUACCAAGACGAUGAUGCAUAGCCGACCUGAGAGGGUGAUCGGCCACAUUGGGACUGAGACACGGCCCAAACUCCUACGGGAGGCAGCAGUAGGGAAUCUUCCGCAAUGGGCGAAAGCCUGACGGAGCAAUGCCGCGUGAGUGAAGAAGGCCUUCGGGUCGUAAAACUCUGUUAUAAGAGAAGAACAAAUUGUAGAGUAACUGCUACAGUCUUGACGGUAUCUUAUCAGAAAGCCACGGCUAACUACGUGCCAG